rnacentral:rRNA from 1 species
AGAGCGAACGCUGGCGGCAGGCCUAACACAUGCAAGUCGAACGGAUCCUUCGGGAUUAGUGGCGGACGGGUGAGUAACACGUGGGAACGUGCCCUUUGGUUCGGAACAACUCAGGGAAACUUGAGCUAAUACCGGAUAAGCCUUUCGAGGGAAAGAUUUAUCGCCAUUGGAGCGGCCCGCGUAGGAUUAGCUAGUUGGUGAGGUAAAAGCUCACCAAGGCGACGAUCCUUAGCUGGUCUGAGAGGAUGAUCAGCCACAUUGGGACUGAGACACGGCCCAAACUCCUACGGGAGGCAGCAGUGGGAAUCUUGCGCAAUGGGCGAAAGCCUGACGCAGCCAUGCCGCGUGAAUGAUGAAGGUCUUAGGAUUGUAAAAUUCUUUCACCGGGACGAUAAUGACGGUACCCGGAGAAGAAGCCCCGGCUAACUUCGUGCCAGCAGCCGC